AAUUGAUCUGGUCAGGAUGAACGCUAGCUACAGGCUUAACACAUGCAAGUCGAGGGGCAGCAUGAGAUUAGCUUGCUAAUCUUGAUGGCGACCGGCGCACGGGUGAGUAACGCGUAUCCAACUUCCCCCUACUCAGGCAUAGCCCGGUGAAAACCGGAUUAACUCCUGAUAGUUUCACUAGAUGGCAUCUGACGGUGAAUAAAGCUUUGCGGUAAGGGAUGGGGAUGCGUCUGAUUAGCUUGUUGGCGGGGUAACGGCCCACCAAGGCGACGAUCAGUAGGGUUCUGAGAGGAAGGUCCCCCCACAUUGGAACUGAGACACGGUCCAAACUCCUACGGGAGGCAGCAGUGAGGAAUAUUGGUCAAUGGGCGCGAGCCUGAACCAGCCAAGUAGCGUGCAGGAAGACGGCCCUAUGGGUUGUAAACUGCUUUUGUGCGGGAAUAAAGUCAGGGACGCGUCCCUGUUUGCAUGUACCGCAAGAAUAAGGACCGGCUAAUUCCGUGCCAGCCGCGGC
rnacentral:rRNA from 1 species